AUGGCGAAAGCCCCAGUUCAUCCUCGCGGAUGGAGAACUAAGCGCUAUAUCCUCGCCGCCCUCAUGGUAACCCUUGCCGUGACCGCCGUCGUCAUCGCCGUCUCCGCGGUCCUCAGACCCGCGAGGAUUGUCUUCUCCGUCACUGGCGCCGUCGCCGGCAAGCUCGACCGUAAAAGCAAGACGAGGCAGCUGAACCUCACCCUCUCCGCCAACAACACCAGCCACCGCGCCGGGGUGAAGUACAGCAGCGUCAUCGUGUACCUGCAGUUCAAGUCCAACGGCACGGAGUACAAACUGGGGGCCGGGCCCGCAUCGCCGCCCUGGCACUGGCAGCCGCCGGGGGCUACGGUGAGCAUGAGCCAGUCGGGUACCCUGUUCGGCACGGCCUUAGACAUAGGCCCCUCCGGCAGGGCUCCGGCGAUCGGCGUGCUGGUGCUGGCCGUGGUGAAGUACAGGGUCGGGCCGGCUGCCUACACGAGGCCUUACGACGUCAGGGUGGUGUGCGACGCCGUCGAUUACGUCGGCGAUCGGAAUAUUAGCUUUCCUAUAGCCUGUAAUGCCUGA
rnacentral:rRNA from 1 species